CAGAGCAGCACUUUAGACUUUAAUAUACACUUGUGUACUCAGAAAUGCUAUCUGGGACACUAUUCAGAACAAACACUUAAGAAGAAACCCUUACUUCUGCCAUUCUAUAAGUAGCAUAAUCACCAACUCCAAAAGUCAGUGGACAGGUGAAAGCCAGGGUUAGAGAGUAGUCAUUAUGACAAAGAUAACUAGCUGCUGGAAGAAGAAUUCCAAUACACGACGUGUCUUUUGGCCACAGCAGCUGAGAUUAUGUUCAAGAGGAAAAUCGUGGCUUUCCAAGCAGGAACAGCUCCCGGGGUCCACAUCAGGGAGCCCAUCCUGUCCGCCGCUAGGGCCGCGGUGAGGCUCGGCACCAGCUGGGAGUGGCGUGCGAAUCAGAGAUUCAGGAGACUUCCAGGGUGAUAGAGAGAUUCAGGGAGCGUGUAAGAGAGAUGGAGCAAUAAAGAGUAACACUCUUGUUCUCUCUCCUCCAUCUUCCCCCACUGGACCAUGAGAUGGGCUGUAU